GUCCACGCCGUAAACGAUGAAUACUAGGUGUCGGGGAGCAAAGCUCUUCGGUGCCGUCGCAAACGCAGUAAGUAUUCCACCUGGGGAGUACGUUCGCAAGAAUGAAACUCAAAGGAAUUGACGGGGACCCCGCACAAGCGGUGGAGCAUGUGGUUUAAUUCGAAGCAACGCGAAGAACCUUACCAAAUCUUGACAUCCCUCUGACCGGUCUUUAAUCGGACCUUCUCUUCGGAGCAGAGGUGACAGGUGGUGCAUGGUUGUCGU
rnacentral:rRNA from 1 species